AGAAACUUUGUUCAGGAAGAUUUCUCAGUAGCUCAGAGGACAGGCUGCUUUUUACACAACCUUGUAAGAGAAUGUCUGUCAAUGCUUUCAGCAGAAUUUAGAAACACAACACUUCCUAAACAGAUGUUUUGAGGCUGUGAGGUUGAACGUUUGAGAGUAUAUCAGUGUGUUUGUUUGUGGUCUUUGUGUUUCUAGGUGGAAGCUGAAUUAGUGAGGAUGACUCCUGCUCCUGUCAUCUCUAAGCUCCUCACACAUCUUUACCUGCACAUGAGGAAAAUCACUCCUGUAGAAUGCAGAUGUUCAGAGGGAGAUGAUGCCACAUCUGGUCCAGCCGAUGGAAGGUCUUGAAGUUCUCUGACUGGCCUGGACUGAAGAUGGUCGUCUCACUGGAUUUAAGGUUCAGAUGCUCAGUAACAAACUCCACCAAUGUGCCAACAGGGAAGCUUUAGGUUUAUUAAAUGUUGCUAUGAAGGUUUCGCUGUUUUUCUUUGUGAAUGCAAUGUGCUCCAACUGAAACUUGAAUUAGAACUUAGAAGUAAAUCCUUCCAUCUGAAAGGAUUUAGUUGCAUUAAUAACCUCAUAACAUUCUAAUUUUUAUUCCAGUCUUGGUUGGAAAUAGAAUCUCUGUAUUGAUUUAGGUAAAAACUGAACUUCACAGCAUGUUGGAGCAAAACAACCAGAUGAAAACUGUGAUGGUGUUGGAUUGUCAGACCGUAAUGUUGCAGCUCAAAGCAGCUUUUCUAUCUCAGUUCAUUCUGACAUUCAGCUAUGAAUCAACACAGCAGAUGGUGAUCCAUGCUGUGGAAGUCUCACAUCUCCUGAUUUAAUGGAGCUGCUUUGCACUUUUUACACUGUUUAUUCACCAACACUUUAUUUAAUCAAAGUCCCAUCUAGUUUUCAUGAGGAAUGUGAUGUUUUAAUUUCUCUGUGAAUAACUGCAGUCUAAUGCAACAGCUGGAGUUGUAACAUCUGUCCUCAUAUUGAUCAUGAAGUAUUGAUCAGAAUACUUAUGGUCAGCAGUCAUCCCUGAAGUUUUACAUUAAAAUCUUUACUUGUGUUGUGAACUUUGGUAAGAAGCAGAAACGUUAGCGUUGCCAUGGAUACAUGAGUGUUAAAUUCUGUCCAUGUUUCAUUUUGGGAAAUGCAGUCCAGUUCCACAAUGUGGAGGAAUUUAGUCUCAAAAUCACAGACAAUAAAUAUUAUCUGAAAGUUGGGUUAUUGUUGUUUAUCAGCACAAUACAAAAAGAUUAAUAUUAGAAAUAUUCCAGUUAAGGCUCUAGAAUAUCAUGAUUUAUGUAAAUUUACCUCAAUAAUAUGAAUGUUCAGGUUAAGAUUGUACAGUGAUAUUAUGUAAGUUUAGCUGAUUAAAGUUUAUGACUCUGCACUAAAAUAUUAUUUUAAUUGACAUCAUUAUUAUAAUAUUUAGGGUCAGACCCUACAGUAUUGAGAUUAAGAAAUCAAAUAUUCUAUAAAAUGUAAAUACACUGAACUCAUUUGGAUGUAUUUAAAUGAGACUCUACAAUAUUAUUUGACACAAAUCUAAAUCAAAAUUUUAAUUAUUUUCAUGCCAAACAUUUACUGGACUGAUUUAAAUAUUAAAAUCACUCCUUUCUAAUCCUCUGCUGUAUGUUCAAACCUGAGGCCUUAAAUAGAAACACACAAGUAUCUGAUUGAAGGAACUUCUGCAGAGUCCUGGUUCCAGAACAUGAUGAUAGAAUUAUAGACAAACUUUAACAAAAGCUGCCUGAGAGUUUACAGGUUUUUAUGUUAGAUUUCUUCAGUAAUUUAAUGAGUUAUCAGCAAAAAUCAAGUGUUCAUUUGAUGAACUUCAUUUCCUAAAACAUCCAGAAUUGGAGCUCAUAUCUUUGGCAGCUGUAAAGUUUCUGCUCCUUCAAAGUUCACAACACAAUGAAUGAAUUCCUAAAACACUCUCAGUGCUGGAGAGCGUUUGUGAUGCUGAAGCAGUGACCAGUUUUUCUGUUUCUUCUCUGGAGAUGCACAAUGAGGGACGUCUGCAGAGACUGAGAAAGAGUCUCACCACAUCCUGACAUGAGGAAAAAGACUUUAUUGAAGACUACAAUGAGAAAAACUAUCAGACAGCAGACGGCUGCAUUCAAGUCUGUAGCUGCUGAAUUCAUGGAUGAAUCAUCUGGCACUAGAGAGGAAGACCAUCAAACAUCCACGUCAGCUGAUGGAGGUCCAAGAGUCUCACCAAACAACCAACCUACAGAGUGAAGGCCUCAAAUCUGAUUGGACGGCCUCCUAUUCAGCCACAUGUGUGAACAAAUGCCUCUAAGCUGAUUUGUUUUCUAAAAUAAAUCUAGUUUGAGUCGGUUAUUAAAUGUCAAAACAAUCCACGUGACUCUAUAAACUCAACAGCUUUAAGAUUAAACUCUCCACAAGGAUCCAAAAUAAGUUGGACUUCUACAUGAGAGCUUUAAUUAUUCUUCAUCUAAUUCCUGAAAAGUUUGGUCAAUAAAAAAGACAAAAACUAAUAUUUUCAGCUGAACUAAAGACAGACUUUGUGAUUUUUCUGCUCACAUGUUGUGUUGUUGUAAACUUACUCUUUCAAAUAAAUAGCCGCCUAACCCCCUGGAAACCAGCGUUUGUCCUGUUUUUGUGUUGCUCUCGGCGACCCUAGACAGCCAGGUCCUAAUGUUUUUUGAGCAACACACCAUACUAUGACGUUUUUACAAUGAUGGUUCUACUAUGGAACCAGUUUGACAUGUUCAGGUGUUCUUUGUGUGAAAACUCAGAGAUUUCAGGUAUCAGAAGGUGGUUUUCAACUUUCUUUGUUAACUUUCUGCUUCAACUUUAAACUAAAUUUCCUUCACUAACCCAGCCCUCUGGACUUCCAGUAAGCUGUGUUCCUAUUGGCUGUCCAGGUGGCUGCUUGGUGUUAUCAGGAACACCUGAGCAGCUCAGUGUCUUCCUGCUUUAUUUAGCUGCAGUCAAACAUUUCCUCUGUUUCUCUUCACCACUGAACUGGGUUUGGCUCCAUUGCUUUAGUUUGUUCUUUAGGCGUUGGCUUGCAGCUUCCAGCAGUAAAAUCCUCUUUAAUGUGUUUCUUGGUGUGUUUUAGGGCUUUGUACUGGAUAGUUGUCUUGGUAAAUGUGGUUCUUUAGCCACAGUUAGCACAUGGUGCUAAUGUGUGCAGUGAUUAGUGGAUUUGAUGCAGCUGAGUUGUGUCUUUAUCUUGGCUGUAGUGAGUCUUCAGAGGUUUUUGGUCAGACACAUUCUGUAUUCUUGUUUGAGAACCAGCGUUGGUUGUCCAGAAGGUAAGAGUUCCUGUCCUGAUUCUCUGUUCUCAGAGGUUCUCUGGUAGGCUGCAGGAGACUUUAGCGUUUGAGUUGUGCUAGUUUGGUUUUUGUAUGGUUUCAUUUGGAUGACUAUCUUGAGGCCCCUCCAUGUGGUUUAGUGAGGUUUUCUGGAACAGUUCUACAUAGCAACCUGAAGCAGAAGAGACUUUGAGAGUUUUUAGGAAGUUCUGGAGACCAGACUUUAGAGCAGCAGAAACAUUUGUCAGCAGUUUGAGCAGGAGAAGGUGAGCUUCAGAGUAGAAAUGAGACAGAAACCUUCUUGACCCGUGUGGUGAGGUCCUUUACCAAGAGUUUGAGCAGGUUGUGAAGAGUCUGUAGUUCUUUGGUCUGAAAGCACAAGAAGAGUCGACUCAUUAAAGGAGAAAACAGGAGAUAUUGUUGGUUCUUCUGUCGCUCUGCAGUUUCCUUAGACUGAAUAUCAAGUUUAUAUUUUAAAUGAUUUAUCAUGUGAGCCCAAGAAGACUGCAGUAAACUCCCUCCAUCCCCUGGACACAACAUAUUUUAUUACCAUGUUAAAUCUUUUUUUUAAAAAUGUUUUUGAG